rnacentral:tRNA from 1 species
GGGGUUGUGGAUCAGUGGUAGAGCCCUCACCCAACACCUGGGAGGCCCUGAGUUCGAUCCUUAGAACCACA